rnacentral:rRNA from 1 species
UACAGAGGUCGUCAAGCGUUGUUUCGGAUUCAUUGGGCGUAAAGGGUGCGUAGGCGGCGCGGUAAGUCGGGUGUGAAAUCUUGGAGCUUAACUCCGAAACUGCAUUCGAUACUGCCGUGCUUGAGGACUGGAGAGGAGAUUGGAAAUUCACGGUGUAGCAGUGAAAUGCGUAGAUAUCGUGAGGAAGACCAGUGGCGAAAGGCGGAUC